rnacentral:rRNA from 1 species
AGAGUUUGAUCAUGGCUCAGAACGAACGCUGGCGGCAGGCCUAACACAUGCAAGUCGAACGAAGCCUUCGGGCUUAGUGGCGGACGGGUUAGUAACGCGUGGGAAUAUGCCCCUGGGUAAGGAACAACAGCUGGAAACGGCUGCUAAUACCUUAUGAUGUCUACGGACCAAAGAUUUAUCGCCCAGGGAUUAGCCCGCGUUGGAUUAGGUAGUUGGAGGGGUAAUGGCCCACCAAGCCUACGAUCCAUAGCUGGUUUGAGAGGAUGAUCAGCAACACUGGGACUGAGACACGGCCCAGACUCCUACGGGAGGCAGCAGUGGGGAAUCUUAGACAAUGGGGGAAACCCUGAUCUAGCCGUGCCGCGUGAUCGAUGACGGCCUUAGGGUUGUAAAGAUCUUUCGACGGGGACGAUAAUGACGGUACCCGUAGAAGAAGCCCCGGCUAACUUCGUGCCAGCAGCCGCGGUAAUACGAAGGGGGCUAGCGUUGUUCGGAAUUACUGGGCGUAAAGCGCGUGUAGGCUGACUAGUCAGUCAGGGGUGAAAUCCCGGGGCUCAACCCCGGAACUGCCUUUGAUACUGCUAGUCUUGAGACCGGUAGAGGUGAGUGGAAUUCCGAGUGUAGAGGUGAAAUUCGUAGAUAUUCGGAGGAACACCAGUGGCGAAGGCGGCUCACUGGACCGGUACUGACGCUGAGACGCGAAAGUGUGGGGGAGCAAACAGGAUUAGAUACCCUGGUAGUCCACACCGUAAACGAUGAAUGCCAGCUGUCGGGUUGCUUGCAAUUCGGUGGCGCAGCUAACGCUUUUAGCAUUCCGCCUGGGGAGUACGGCCGCAAGGUUAAAACUCAAAGGAAUUUGACGGG